rnacentral:rRNA from 1 species
CAGCGGCGAACGGGUGAGUAACACGUGGGUGAUCUGCCUCGUACUCUGGGAUAAGCUCGGGAAACUGGGUCUAAUACCGGAUAUGACCAUCGGUUGCAUGGCUGGUGGUGGAAAGAUUUAUCGGUGCGAGAUGGGCCCGCGGCCUAUCAGCUUGUUGGUGGGGUAAUGGCCUACCAAGGCGACGACGGGUAGCCGACCUGAGAGGGUGACCGGCCACACUGGGACUGAGACACGGCCCAGACUCCUACGGGAGGCAGCAGUGGGGAAUAUUGCACAAUGGGCGGAAGCCUGAUGCAGCGACGCCGCGUGAGGGAUGACGGCCUUCGGGUUGUAAACCUCUUUCGACAGGGACGAAGCGUGAGUGACGGUACCUGUAGAAGAAGCACCGGCCAACUACGUGCCAGCAGCCGCGGUAAUACGUAGGGUGCGAGCGUUGUCCGGAAUUACUGGGCGUAAAGAGCUUGUAGGCGGUUUGUCGCGUCUUCUGUGAAAACUCACAGCUCAACUGUGAGCUUGCAGGGGAUACGGGCAGGCUAGAGUACUUCAGGGGAGACUGGAAUUCCU